rnacentral:rRNA from 1 species
UACGGGGGGGGCAAGCGUUGUUCGGAAUUACUGGGCGUAAAGGGCGCGUAGGCGGCUUUUCAAGUCGGGCGUGAAAUCUCCGGGCUUAACCCGGAAACUGCCGUUGAUACUAUAUAUCUUGAAUGCUGUGGAGGUAAGCAGAAUAUGUCAUGUAGCGGUGAAAUGCUUAGAGAUGACAUAGAAUACCUAUUGCGAAGGCAGCUUACUACGCAGAUAUUGACGCUCAUGCACGAAAGCGUGGGGAUCAAACAGG